rnacentral:rRNA from 1 species
AAUGAACGUUGGCGGCGUGGAUUAGGCAUGCAAGUCGUGCGAGAAGCUUUAGUUUGAAACUUCGGUCGAUUACUAAGGUGGAAAGCGGCGAAAGGGAGAGUAACGCGUAGAUAUCUACCCCUAGACCUGGGAUAGCUGUGGGAAACUGCAGGUAAUACCGGAUAAUGUCUUCGGACCAAAGGUGUGAUUCCGUCUAGGGAUGAGUCUGCGUCCUACUAGCUUGUUGGUGGGGUAAUGGCCUACCAAGGCAAUGAUGGGUAGCGGGCGUGAGAGCGUGGCCCGUCUCACUGGGACUGAGACACUGCCCAGACACCUACGGGUGGCAG